CCAUGUCCGUCAAUGUAUGUGCGGGCUACUGGUGUGCCGACUCCAUGAGGGUGACAUGAGGGCCCGAUGUCCUCUAGUGGGACCUGAGCUCUCAGCCCAGCACCAUGCAGCUUAAUUGGCAUUUGACGGAGAACACCAGAAUUGGCAGCCUCAUGACGUGGCUUGAAGUGAAACCAAGCUGUGACGUGGGGGCAUUCAAUACAUUGUAAGGUAAUUAGAGCCACAGUGAUUCAUCUACAGCAGAAAGUCUAUAAGAAGAAACUGAAAACACAGGAGGGAGCGACAAGAUGCACAAUGUGCUGUCCCUUAUCCAAGGAUAAAAGAUCAAUCAAGAUAGUUAGAGUCAAAUUAGAAUGAACUAAAUGAAUUAAUACAAAUCUCCAGAUCCUUCUGAUACAUUCUCCAUGACAAAAUGAAAUAAACCUAAAUGUUCUUUUGAAUGGCUGACUGGGUUUCAAUUGCAUGUUUCCUGCAUGAUAUCAAAUCAUUAGUCUCAGUAAAAAAAACAUAAUUAACCUUAUUUUAACAGAUUGUGAAUGUGACUCUGAACACAUUCUCUCUCACUGGGAGCAAUUAGGUUUAAGUGCCUUGUUCAGGGACAGUAUGAUAGAUUUCUAAUGCUCUAACCAUGUUAGGGUUAAGUACAUCCAGGUGUCUUACUCAUCGGUCA
ensembl:lncRNA